GCCUCGGCCUCUCAAAGUGCUGGGAUUAUAGGCAUGAGCCACUGUGCCUGGCUGGCUUUUUUUUUUUUUUUUUCUUGCCAAAAAAUUUUGAUCCUAGCCUAGUGAAUGAUAAUGUUUUGGUCCAAAAAUCAGGUAUAAAUGGCUCACUUUGUUAUGGGACUUUAUGUUGUCUCUGAAGACACUGACAAAUGAGGAACUUGCAAAAUGUUUGGAACAAUGCCAGCAAAACUGGAAUGAGUGGUUUGUUUUCCAGGUUUAUUUUGAAAGGCAUUAUUCAUUAGGAUAUAUAUUUUGGCUGUAAGAAUUUUAAAAAGGUGUAGAAGAUCUCAAACAUGACAAAAAACACUAGGAAAAAUCUCAGGAGCUGGAAAUGACCCAUGAGAAUGGCUCCUAGAUUGGUUUAACUCCUCAUCUUCAGCGUUGGAGACGAAGGGAGACCUAAUUCUCAUGAGCCAUCAUGGCUCAGACAACUGAGCACUUGGCCUGACUGUGGACCACAGUCCCAGGGUAGUCCAUUUUGGAAUAGCAUACAAAUUCCAGGUGUAAAUUACUAAGCUUGUUUUUAUUUUCACUUAAAACAUUUUUUUUUUUUUUUUUUUGGAGACAAGAUGGUCAGCAGCGCUCUUCUAUUCUCACUCAGAGAGAUCCAGCUUCUGCUGCUGCCAGAAUGUGCAAACUGCCCACGACAGAGGCCAGCGCUGAGUCCCUGAAGAGGGACCAUCCCGAGGAGACCACGUGGGCUACAUCAGAGCUUUGCUAGCCUGGAAGAUGAUAGGAGGAAAUACCUAUUCCUGUCAAAGGUUUUCUUUUCCUGCCCACAGGGCCUGACUAGCUCCAGUAGCCUAAGGGCAUACAGAGUGUUUGCUUGUCACCUGGCAGCAGGUUCCACAGGACAACACUGCUUCCAACCAAGGGACCUAUUUGGCAGCUAAGGAGGUGCAAGAUCAGCCCAGAUACGGUUAAAGCUGCAGGAUCCUUUGAUCUUCCGGGAGGAACUGCCAAGAAUGCGGUCAACAAACACAGCUACCGGCUCACUUGCAAAAGAAAAGUCCUGAAAUUUUCCAGCAUCACCAUCUUGAAUAUUUGCCAAUAACAUCUGUUAGAGUUUUUAAAAAACCAAUUGAGGGCCACAAACCCAUUAAGAAGUUCCUGUUGCUUCCAGUAAAACGUGGCCAAGGAAAACAAAGGGCUCUGGACGGGGCUCUGGGAUGGGAGGAGGAGAGCCAGAAACCGCUUGGUGAGAUGACAAGGAAGAGGCAAGACCUAGACUUCCACGAAGCAGAUGGCUCCCAGGCUCUGCAGCAGAGGCUGCAACACAGCACCAAGCAGCUCCUGGAGACGGGGCAGCUGGCCUUGUCAGCCACAUCGCAGAGACAGCAGACCAGGCAGACUUGCAGACCAAGAGCGUGAGCUUUGAGGUAGGAUUGUCGGGCCUGCUGAGUGGAGGCGGGGGACCUGCAUGGCUCUGGCAGGCGGUUACUCAGAAAGCAGGCGUGGUAUCUGAACAGGAAGGCAGAACCAAGGAUGCACAGUUGGUGCCGGUGUACGGGGCGAGUUUUUAUAAAAAUCCAGUCCAGCAAAUUGAUAAGUCACUUCUCAGCCUCAGAAAUAAAAUGCUUGACAAAAUAUAUUCUUUUUAAAAGGAGAGAGAAAUGUUACUACCAGGUGGAGCUGGAGGUGGCAGGUGACUGGGGAGAUGAGAGGAGGGAGGAGAGGAAGGGUUCCCUGGGAACAAGAGCCCGGCAGGCUCAGAACCCCUGUCGUGAGCUGUCUCUGAGAGGUGUGGAUGACUCAAUGUGGAUCUCAAGGGAGAAGCCUGGUGUUUCCAGAGUCCCGCCCUCGCAGGUCAGACUCAGCACACCCAGUCUCACAGUGGGAAACUGGGAGACAAGGUACCUGAUAUUGCUCUUCUAUUUUCUGCCUUCCCCAGAGAUCCCGCCCACCACAUCAGGGCAGAGCCAUCCCUGCCUGCCACAGGGGCCACUUGUGUUCAUGAUGCUUUCAUAACGACAAUAGGGUGGACUGACUAGAAUAGGCUUUCCCAGGGUCUGCCAUCUUAAAUGCUUAUGAGUCUGAGAGUGGUUCUGCUCAGAAGAGCAAUCUGGAUGCAUUUUCAGUUAACUUCUUGGGUUGCCAGUUUCAGAAAGGAGCCACCACCAGGUGAAGACUUAUGACAUAGUUGUUAAAAUUCUUGUGUUUUCACGUGGAUUUAAGAACUAAGAACUGAGUGAAUUAAUUUUAGGAGACUGUCAUGCUUGUAUGUCGGGGGGGGAUGUAUGUGUGUAUGUGAGAGACACAGAGAGAGAGAGAGAAGGAGGGAGGGAAAGAGAGGGAAAGAUGGAAGGAAGAGAGAGGCAGGGAUGGAAGAAA